rnacentral:rRNA from 1 species
GGACGUUACUCGCAGAAUAAGCACCGGCUAACUCUGUGCCAGCAGCCGCGGUAAUACAGAGGGUGCAAGCGUUAAUCGGAAUUACUGGGCGUAAAGCGCGCGCAGGCGGUUAAUCAAGUCAAAUGUGAAAUCCCCGAGCUCAACUUGGGAAUUGCAUUCGAUACUGGCUAGCUAGAGUGUGGGAGAGGAGGGUAGAAUUCCAGGUGUAGCGGUGAAAUGCGUAGAGAUCUGGAGGAAUACCGAUGGCGAAGGCAGCCCCCUGCCUAACACUGACGCUCAGGUGCGAAAGCAUGGGGAGCAAACAGGAUUAGAUACCCUGGUAGUCCACGCCGUAAACGAUGUCUACUUGGCGGUUGGGCCCUUGAGGCUUGGGUUGCGCAGCUAACGCGAUAAGUAGACCGCCUGGGGAGUACGGUCGCAAGGUUAAAACUCAAAUGAAUUGACGGGGGCCCGCACAAGCGGUGGAGCAUGUGGUUUAAUUCGAUGCAACGCGAAGAACCUUACCUGGCCUUGACAUCCUAAGAACUUUCCAGAGAUGGAU